rnacentral:rRNA from 1 species
AAACUUUCAACAACGGAUCUCUUGGCUCUGGCAUCGAUGAAGAACGCAGCGAAAUGCGAUACGUAAUGUGAAUUGCAGAAUUUAGUGAAUCAUCAAAUCUUUGAACGCACAUUGCGCCCCUGGGUACUCCUAGGGGCAUGCCUGUUCGAGCGUC